GAUGAACGCUGGCGGCGUGCCUAACACAUGCAAGUCGAACGAAGCGCCUUUUAAGAUUCUUCGGAUGAUUGAUCGGUGACUGAGUGGCGGACGGGUGAGUAACGCGUGGGCAACCUGCCCUGUACAGGGGGAUAACAGUUGGAAACGGCUGCUAAUACCGCAUAAGCGCACGAGAGGACAUCCUCUUGUGGGAAAAACUCCGGUGGUACAGGAUGGGCCCGCGGCUGAUUAGCUGGUUGGCAGGGUAACGGCCUACCAAGGCGACGAUCAGUAGCCGGUCUGAGAGGAUGAACGGCCACAUUGGAACUGAGACACGGUCCAAACUCCUACGGGAGGCAGCAGUGGGGAAUAUUGCACAAUGGGGGAAACCCUGAUGCAGCAACGCCGCGUGAGUGAAGAAGUAUUUCGGUAUGUAAAGCUCUAUCAGCAGGGAAGAUAAUGACGGUACCUGACUAAGAAGCCCCGGCUAAAUACGUGCCAGCCGCCGCCGUAA
rnacentral:rRNA from 1 species